rnacentral:rRNA from 1 species
UACGUAGGGGGCAAGCGUUGUCCGGAAUCAUUGGGCGUAAAGCGUGCGCAGACGGUUGCGUAAGUCAGAUGUGAAAGCCCCGGGCUCAACCUGGGAAUUGCAUUUGAGACUGCGUAGCUAGGGUGCGGAAGAGGGAAGCGGAAUUUCCGGUGUAGCGGUGAAAUGCGUAGAUAUCGGAAGGAGCACCAGUGGCGAAAGCGGCUUCCUGGUCCAGAACCGACGUUCAGGCACGAAAGCGUGGGGAGCAAACAGG